AAAAAGACAAACCCUGGUUUCCAUGCCCAACGUUUGACCGUCCGUCUUAUUUGAAAAAAAAUAUGAAAAAAAAGAUAAGUCACCCAUAAAAUAUUAAUCAUGUCUUAUCAUCUAACAAAAAUAAAAAUACAAAUUAUAAAAAAAUUUUAUAUGAGACGGACAGUUAAAAUUGGACACGAAAAUUCAGGGUUUGCCUUUUU
rnacentral:pre_miRNA from 1 species